rnacentral:rRNA from 1 species
GAGUAGAAUAAUUACUGAUCUUGGAAGCUAAGCAGGGUCGGGCCUGGUUAGUACUUGGAUGGGAGACCACCUAGGAAGACCAGGUGCUGUAGGCA